CGCUCGGGAAUCUCCGAGCAGCGGGAACGGGAGCGGGAUCGGGAUCCGCUCGGGAGUCUCCGAGCAGCGGGAGCGGAGUGCCCCUGGAGUCAUUCCUGAGGCACCACGGGACUGCAGGGAUGCCACAAACCCAGAGUCUGUAGGCACCUUCACCACAAAGAAGACCAGCUGGAGAGGAUCAAUGGAGCGUCGUUGGGAUCCAUGGAGUGCCUGGCUCCGAAGGGAGUCACAGCCUUCUCCUACAGACCUGUUUUUCCUUUUGGAGAGCUGCACCCCCAUGAACAGCCCAUCAGCCCGGAGGAAGACAAGGGGAUGAAGGGCGCCGGCAGAGGGAUCCUUUACCACAGAGCUGGUGGGGCAGCCAAGGAGGACGCUGAACCCUACAAGGAAACACUGGCACUCAUUUACAAACAGAACUCAGCAUUUUUAUUCUUUGAUUGACUUCCUGCUAGUUUUGAUAUUUGCUACCACCAGAGAAGAGCGUAAAAACACAGUACAACAUUGUGAACCAGUUAGGAAGGCUGGAAGGGAAAGCAAAUCCCAGUACAAUUGCAAGUAACUUGGUGGAGUUCAGAAUUGUUUUGAACGGAUCAGCAAUGAAGCAAUAAAUAUGCUGCUGCACUGAACCAACAACAGGAUUUAAUCACUAACUUUGUGGUUUAUUGCAUUACAGUU